CAAAAACACAUAAAAACACACAGAUUCAGAUAUAGAAACAGAAAAUAACAGACACUAUGACAAGCAAAAACCCAUUCAGACAUGCAGGCACAGGUAGUGAGAGAGAAAAAAAACAAACACAAAGAUUCAGACAUACAAACAGACAAAGACAGACACUUUUACAAGUAAAACCCACUCAGACAGACAUGCACAGAGAGUGAGAGAAACAAAAAAGCACGCAAAAACACAGACUCAGACAUACAAGCAAAGAGAGACAAUGGGACAUAUAAACACCCACCCAAACACACGGGCCUAGAGAAUAAGAGAGACAAAGCCACAUAUAAACUCGAAGAUUCAGAAAUACAAAUAGACAAAGACAAACACUUGGACAAGCACACACCGCCCGU
rnacentral:rRNA from 1 species